UACGAAGGGUGCAAGCGUUACUCGGAAUUACUGGGCGUAAAGCGUGCGUAGGCGGUUGUUUAAGUCUGUUGUGAAAGCCCUGGGCUCAACCUGGGAACUGCAGUGGAAACUGGACAACUAGAGUGUGGUAGAGGGUAGCGGAAUUCCCGGUGUAGCAGUGAAAUGCGUAGAGAUCGGGAGGAACAUCCAUGGCGAAGGCAGCUAGCUGGACCAACACUGACACUGAGGCACGAAAGCGUGGGGAGCAAACAGG
rnacentral:rRNA from 1 species